rnacentral:rRNA from 1 species
UAGGGAAUCUUCGGCAAUGGACGAAAGUCUGACCGAGCAACGCCGCGUGAGUGAAGAAGGUUUUCGGAUCGUAAAACUCUGUUGGUAGAGAAGAACGUUGGUGAGAGUGGAAAGCUCAUCAAGUGACGGUAACUACCCAGAAAGGGACGGCUAACUACGUGCCAGCAGCCGCGGUAAUACGUAGGUCCCGAGCGUUGUCCGGAUUUAUUGGGCGUAAAGCGAGCGCAGGUGGUUUAUUAAGUCUGGUGUAAAAGGCAGUGGCUCAACCAUUGUAUGCAUUGGAAACUGGUAGACUUGAGUGCAGGAGAGGAGAGUGGAAUUCCAUGUGUAGCGGUGAAAUGCGUAGAUAUAUGGAGGAACACCGGUGGCGAAAGCGGCUCUCUGGCCUGUAACUGACACUGAGGCUCGAAAGCGUGGGGAGCAAACAGGAUUAGAUAGCCCUGGUAGUCCACGCGUAAACGAUGAGUGCUAGAUGUAGGGAGCUAUAAGUUCUCUGUAUCGCAGCUAACGCAAUAAGCACUCCGCCUG